UACGGAGGGUGCAAGCGUUAUCCGGAUUUACUGGGUUUAAAGGGUGCGUAGGUGGGCAGGUAAGUCAGUGGUGAAAUCUUCAAGCUUAACUUGGAAACUGCCAUUGAUACUAUUUGUCUUGAAUUAUCUGGAGGUAAGCGGAAUAUGUCAUGUAGCGGUGAAAUGCUUAGAUAUGACAUAGAACACCCAUUGCGAAGGCAGCUUACUACGGAUAUAUUGACACUGAGGCACGAAAAGCGUGGGGAUCAAAACAGG
rnacentral:rRNA from 1 species